rnacentral:rRNA from 1 species
UACGUAGGGGGCAAGCGUUGUCCGGAAUUAUUGGGCGUAAAGCGCGCGCAGGCGGCUAUUUAAGUCUGGUGUUUAAACCUUGGGCUCAACCUGAGGUCGCACUGGAAACUGGGUGGCUUGAGUACAGAAGAGGAAAGUGGAAUUCCACGUGUAGCGGUGAAAUGCGUAGAUAUGUGGAGGAACACCAGUGGCGAAGGCGACUUUCUGGGCUGUAACUGACGCUGAGGCGCGAAGGCGUGGGGAGCGAACGGG